rfam:Schistosoma mansoni strain Puerto Rico chromosome W, complete genome
AUCCAUCUGACGAGUCGCAAAUAGAACGAAACGCGCUUUCUGGAU